rnacentral:rRNA from 1 species
GGUUGGGCUGUUCGCCCAUUAAAGCGGUACGCGAGCUGGGUUCAGAACGUCGUGAGACAGUUCGGUCCCUAUCCGUCGUGGGCGUAGGAAAUUUGAGAGGAGCUGUCCUUAGUACGAGAGGACCGGGAUGGACGCACCGCUGGUGUACCAGUUGUUCUGCCAAGGGCAUAGCUGGGUAGCUAUGUGCGGAAGGGAUAAGUGCUGAAAGCAUCUAAGCAUGAAGCCCCCCUCAAGAUGAGAUUUCCCAUAGCGUAAGCUAGUAAGAUCCCUGAAAGAUGAUCAGGUUGAUAGGUUCGAGGUGGAAGCAUGGUGACAUGUGGAGCUGACGAAUACUAAUAGAUCGAGGACUUAACCAUAUAA